GGGGUCAUGGCUCAGUGGUAGAGCAUCUGCUUAGGAUGCAGAAGGCCCCAGGUUCAAUCCCUGGCACCUCCA